rnacentral:rRNA from 1 species
UACGUAGGGACCGAGCGUUGUCCGGAUUCAUUGGGCGUAAAGAGCUCGUAGGCGGCUGCUCAAGUCGAAUGUGAAAACUCGAGGCUCAACCUCGAGCCUGCAUUCGAUACUGGGCGGCUAGAGUCUGGUAGGGGGAUCUGGAAUUCCUGGUGUAGCGGUGGAAUGCGCAGAUAUCAGGAGGAACACCGGUGGCGAAGGCGGGAUCCUGGGCCAGUACUGACGCUGAGGAGCGAAAGCGCGGGGAGCAAACAGG